AAGGAUUCCCCUAGUAACGGCGAGUGAAGCGGGAAAAGCUCAAAUUUGAAAGCUGGCAGCAAUGUCCGCGUUGUAAUCUCGAGAAACGUUUUCCGUGCUGGACCGUAGACAUGUUCCUUGGAAUAGGAUGUCAUAGAGGGUGAUAACCCCGUACUUGCUACGGACGCCCAGUGCUUUGUGAUACGUUUUCGAAGAGUCGAGUUGUUUGGGAAUGCAGCUCAAAAUGGGUGGUAAAUUCCAUCUAAAGCUAAAUAUUGGGGAGAGACCGAUAGCAAACAAGUACCGUGAGGGAAAGAUGAAAAGCACUUUGGAAAGAGAGUUAAACAGUACGUGAAAUUGUCAAAAGGGAAGCGCUUCACGUCAGACGUGUGCGGCGAUAUUCAGCCUUACGGUGUCUUUAUCGUCGCACAGGCCAGCAUCGAUUUUGCGCGACGGAGAAUGGUAGAGGGAAUGUAGGAUGCAAAUCUGUUAUAGCCCUUUACUGGAUACGUCGUGCGGGAUCGAGGAACGCAGCGCACCCGCAAGGGCAGGUCUUUGGACACUUUUGCGCUUAGGAUGCUGGCGUAAUGGCUUGAAGCGACCCGUCUUGAAACACGGACCAAGGAGUCUAACAUGUCUGCGAGUCUUUGGGUGGCAAACCCAUCGGCGCAAUGAAAGUGAAUGUAGGUGGGAUCCCGCAAGGGUGCACCAUCGACCGAUCUGUAUUCAUAACGGAUUUGAGUAAGAGCAUAUACGUUAGGACCCGAAAGAUGGUGAACUAUGCCUGGACAGGGCGAAGCCAGAGGAAACUCUGGUGGAGGCUCGUAGACGUUCUGACGUGCAAAUCGAUGUUCAGAUCUGGGUAUAGGGGCGAAAGACUAAUCGAACCAUGAAAAUACACUAAGUGGUUAAGAGACGGCGCGCAAGCGUUCAGUCUAGUCGUGUGUUAAGCACGGCAACACUAUCCAAUUGCGGGGACGUCCUAAAGACUUUUACUACCAAGCGUCGUGUAGCGAUACAUGCGUGGCCGCGGCUAACGACCGUGGGUAUGGUGACAACGUAGAGUAUGAAACAAUGGAUAAUCCGCAGCCAAGCUCUUGCGAAAGAGUGCAGUUCAGAGACUAUAUGGUAGUGGGUGUUUAUAUAUAAACGCUUAAGAUAGAGUCCGACCCCGUGCGAAAGCAUGCUGGCUAACAAAGGAACGCACGUUUCCCCGAGUAGUCAGGUU
rnacentral:rRNA from 1 species